AUGUCUUGCCUAAUUUCAGGACGGUGGAGGCGGAAGGGAGAGGCCAGCCGGGCAUGCCCGUGGGUCCAGGCGGGGGCAAGGGCCUCUGGCUGGCCGCCCCACCCCCCACCCCGUAGUUUCCGGCGUAAAAGAGCGAUGAGGUUUAUUUCCCUUCUGACAACGCGUCGAUUCGACUUGCCUACUCCGCUGGGCACCCCGGUGCAGAUGAAAGAGGGCGAUGCAUCAAACAUUAACGAUCUCUGCCCGGGAGGGGGUGUGCGGGCUGCAGGCGCCCUGCCCGGGGAUCUGCCAGCCUCGCAGCCUCGCUGGCUGAGGACCAGACCGCGCAGGCGCAGACGCGGCCUGGAAAGCAGAGCGGGGUGGGGGGGGCAGAGGCCCCUCCGUGCACACUCACCCCCACCCACACAUGAAAGCCGGCCCCGGGAGUGCCAGAAACUGACCACAGAUCAAUAUGCCUCCCUGAUCAGCUGCCUCGUGCCAGUGAGGCCCAGAGAGGUGAAGCCAUCAGAGUCACCGCAGCGAGCCGUGCUCAGCCCGGAUGGAAUCGUGUCUUCAGACACCAACUUGCUCCUCCUGGGCCGUGGGCUCUGGGAUCCACACGGCUGCCUGGGACCCGGAGAGAUUGGCCUUGGCGGCUUUAGGAAAAUCAUGAUUUGCUGGACAGUGGCACUGCUUUAGAGUCCCGACCUCAGAUAAAGGCUGAUCAUGUCCACACAAGAGAUGCAACAAGGUGGCCCGCUGACCUUUGUUCAAGGACAUGGCCACUUGAGCGCACACGG
rnacentral:lncRNA from 1 species